GCACAAGAUGUAUUUUGGUCCUAUUCGA
rnacentral:sRNA from 1 species